rnacentral:sRNA from 1 species
GUCACUCUCACCGGCAGUGUCUUCCCGCAGUGAGCCAGCAGAGCCCCUUCCCUAGGCGGGCUGGGCACUGGGCGGGGUCUGUGACUCACCUGCGGCCUGCAGUCCCUUCCCCAGCACUCUGUGGCCAUGAGAUGGGGCCUGAGCGCCACCGCCUGGCCGAGGAGGAGCUCAUCAAAGCCCAGAAGGUGUUUGAGGAGAUGAAUGUGGAUCUGCAGGAGGAGUUGCCGUCCCUGUGGAACAGCCGCGUAGGUUUCUAUGUCAACACGUUCCAGAGCAUCGCGGGCCUGGAGGAAAACUUCCACAAGGAGAUGAGCAAGCUCAACCAGAACCUCAAUGACGUGCUGGUCAGCCUGGAGAAGCAACACGGGAGCAACACCUUCACGGUCAAGGCCCAGCCCAGUGACAACGCGCCUGCAAAAGGGAACAAGAGCCCUUCGCCUCCAGAUGGCUCCCCUGCCGCCACCCCCGAGAUCAGAGUCAACCACGAGCCAGAGCCGGCCGGCGGGGCCACGCCCGGGGCCACCCUCCCCAAGUCCCCAUCUCAGCCAGCAGAGGCCUCGGAGGUGGCGGGUGGGACCCAACCUGCGGCUGGAGCCCAGGAGCCAGGGGAGACGGCGGCAAGUGAAGCAGCCUCCAGCUCUCUUCCUGCUGUCGUGGUGGAGACCUUCCCGGCAACUGUGAAUGGCACCGUGGAGGGCGGCAGUGGGGCCGGGCGCUUGGACCUGCCCCCAGGUUUCAUGUUCAAGGUACAGGCCCAGCACGACUACACGGCCACCGACACAGACGAGCUGCAGCUCAAGGCUGGUGACGUGGUGCUGGUGAUCCCCUUCCAGAACCCUGAAGAGCAGGUGAGGGCUGGGUGGGGCCGCCAGAGUGCAGGGGGACCA